rnacentral:rRNA from 1 species
UACGUAGGGCGCAAGCGUUAUCCGGAAUUAUUGGGCGUAAAGAGCUCGUAGGCGGUUUGUCGCGUCUGCUGUGAAAACUCGGGGCUUAACUCCGGGCCUGCAGUGGGUACGGGCAGACUAGAGUGCGGUAGGGGAGACUGGAAUUCCUGGUGUAGCGGUGAAAUGCGCAGAUAUCAGGAGGAAUACCGAUGGCGAAGGCAGGUCUCUGGGCUGACACUGACGCUCAUGCACGAAAGCGUGGGGAGCAAACAGG